UUCCCCCUCCUUGUCGGUUAGAAGUUGGAGAACAGAGUAAAGGAAAGCGUUCGCGUCCCUCUGUGUUUCUCUCCAUCUUUCCUGUCGUGUAGGCUUCAUCUUGCCGUCGGUGUGCUGGUCUCUUCAUCGCCAACAAGUGUCCGUCACUUUCCUUGGCUAUUCUUCCAUCUCUGUCCAGUAAAGUAGCUGAAGUUCUUUGUUUAUGCUCUGUUGCAUGGCCGCCGAAGUUUUGUUUCCUUCUCUUGGGGCAGCCAAGCGGAAGCUCUUCUCCUCUUCUUUGUGUGGUCCGUGAAGUAUGGUGUUGCAUCUCUUACUGUGCUUUGGUUGAGAUUUCCUAUUAUUGGUUUUGGCUAGUUGCCUCAUACCAUUUUCCUUCCCAAAAUUUCCUCAUCGUCAUCAAAUAAUGGCUCAAACAGAGAUGCAAAGCAAUGGCUGUGAAGUCAUGGAGCCUUCCCCCAAUAUCCAAAAGGUAGAACACAACGGUGUCGCCUAAAAUCCUCAAGCCUUUGUGCAAUUAUAACGCCUGAUCCAGCUAGUUACUACAAGUGAAUGAGAAUAAAGGAACCAAAACAAGGGAGUGCAGAUAUUACAUCAUGAAAUCCAUGAAAGAUGUUGUCACACAUGGAGAAAUAAUCAUUCCAGAAAACUUCUUUGAAGAUGCUUCAUGCAAGUCUUAUAGGAUGAAAGAAUUAGAUGAGUUUAUAGAGGAGUGGUCAAAAUAUGUUAUGAGAUCUUUACAAGGUAUUCAAAGUGGUUAGAAUUUGUGGUUUAGGUAUAAGUGUAGAAAUAUUAUGAAAAUUACAUUGUUUAGUUGCUUAUGAGUUUUGAUAUAUAAAAGAAAUACUUUGAUCUUUACUUGAAGUCGUUCCUUAAAAUUAAAUGAUAGUUGCCUUGUUGAAAUUUGUAUUGUCUUUUUAGAUUGUUGUGCUGUUGGGUUUUGUCUAAAAUAUUGGUCAUGAUAUACAAUAUAAAUGGAAUGGAAAAGAGAAAAUGAAAAAAUAUAAAAAAAAAUAAAAUACCUACCGAUGCAUUUUAUGGAUAAAAAGCUCCUAUAGAUACCUUACAAGAGCUUUUCUAAAAAGAAAAGCUCCCGUAUAAGGAAAGAGAAAAUGAAAAAAAUAUUAAAAAAUAAAAUACCUACCAAAGCAUUUUGUGGAUAAAAAGCUCUUGUAGGUACCUUACAAGAGCUUUUUUGACAAGAAAAACUCUUAUAGGGUCAAGCCUAUCGGAGCCUUUCUUUUAGAAAAGCUCUGGUAGGCCUAACUUUUGGGAACUUUUCUUUCUAGAAAAGUUCAUGUAAGGUAUGCUUACAGGAGCUUUUCAUCCUACAAAAGCUCUUAUAGGUCUCCUCUAUAAGAGCGUUUUACACGCUCUUGUAUAUUCAGGAGCUCCUCUUUUUUGAGCACUUGCAAAAUGCUCCGAAAGCUUAAAAUGGAACACUUUGAAAAUCUUUUUUUUUUUUGGUAGUAGUGAUACAUAUC